GGCCAGACUCCUACGGGAGGCAGCAGUGGGGGAUAUUGCACAAUGGGGGGAACCCUGAUGCAGCGACGCCGCGUGGGUGAAGAAGUAUUUCGGUAUGUAAAGCCCUAUCGGCAGGGAAGAAAUUGGACGGUACCUGACUAAGAAGCCCCGGCUAACUACGUGCCAGCAGCCGCGGUAAUACGUAGGGGGCAAGCGUUAUCCGGAUUCACUGGGUGUAAAGGGAGCGUAGACGGCCAUGCAAGCCUGGAGUGAAAGCCCGGGGCCCAACCCCGGGACUGCUCUGGGAACUGUGCGGCUGGAGUGCGGGAGGGGCAGGCGGAAUUCCUGGUGUAGCGGUGAAAUGCGUAGAUAUCAGGAGGAACACCGGCGGCGAAGGCGGCCUGCUGGACCGCGACUGACGUUGAGGCUCGAAAGCGUGGGGAGCAAACAGGAUUAGAUACCCGCGUA
rnacentral:rRNA from 1 species